UACGAAGGGGGCUAGCGUUGUUCGGAAUUACUGGGCGUAAAGGGCGCGUAGGCGGUGCCUCAAGUCAGGCGUGAAAGCCCCGGGCUCAACCUGGGAACCGCGCUUGAGACUGGAGUACUAGAGUUCGGGAGAGGAUGGUGGAAUUCCCAGUGUAGAGGUGAAAUUCGUAGAUAUUGGGAAGAACACCGAUGGCGAAGGCAGC
rnacentral:rRNA from 1 species